CUUCCUUGUUGGUUUAAGAAUUCUAACAUGCAAACGCUUGUCUUUUUUAUAAUAUUGAGACUGACUUUGUCCUCUGGAUACCAUAGUUGCUUCUUCAACAAAAAUGGAAAACGAAAUAUUCAUAUCUAGUGAUCAAGUUCAACUCGAACCCAUGAGAAUUCCAACAUACUAUUGGGAGACCUGAUCACCAAAGACUACGAAGAUUAUCCAGGAACACUCUACCUGAGUUUCCGUGAGAGGGCCCUUUAAUCCACCUUCAUUAUGAGAUGUUGUUUUUAACGAGUAGACGUUCGGGGAAUAAACCAAACAUGGAAUCCUUCCCUUUAUCUACCAAUAUAACUCUAGUCGGUUACGACGUUAG